rnacentral:rRNA from 1 species
UACGUAGGGAGCAAGCGUUGUCCGGAAUCAUUGGGCGUAAAGCGCGCGUAGGUGGCCUCAUAAGUCCGCUGUGAAAGUCAAAGGCUCAACCUUUGAAAGCCGGUGGAUACUGUGAGGCUAGAGUACGGAAGAGGCGAGUGGAAUUCCUGGUGUAGCGGUGGAAUGCGUAGAUAUCUGGAGGAACACCGGUGGCGAAGGCGGCAUCCUGGACCGGCAUUGACGCUGAGGCGCGAAAGCCAGGGGAGCAAACGGG